rnacentral:lncRNA from 1 species
GAAGGUGAAGGGUGGAUCGGGUAGAGGGAGAAACAGAUCGGGUGGAGAGAGAAACUGGUCGAGUAAGACAAGGAAGUGGACACAAUGUAGUGUGUGGAGUCAGUGAAGGUGAAAGGUGGAUCGGGUAGAGGGAGAAACAGAUCGGGGGGAGAGAGAAACUGAUCGGGGGAUGAGAAAUGGGAAGCAGUAAUAUCGCGAGUUAGUACACAUUAACAAGCAUAUUACGAGGGCGAUGAUUUAGGAAGCAGGUGCGCGUAUUCUAACAGACAAGAUUAUGGGAGCAAAGGUCUCGGAGACAGGUGCGGCAGUUACGCUUAAUGGCGAGAUAUCCGGAGUCAUGGAUCUACGGUUACAGAUAAUGGGCCACCCAGAGGUAUGAUUAAGGCCUAUAAAUACAGGAGUGGUUGGUCAGGUAAGGGACUUUUGAUCUAAUUACUUUUCACUCUGAACUUAACGGUGACCUUGCUGACUUGAGCGUUGGAGUGCUAACUUGCAGGUCGCCACCCGUUCA